CGCAGGCGGCCAGGUCAGUCGAAUGUGAAAGCCCCCGGCUCAACUGGGGAGGGUCAUUCGAUACUGCCUGGCUUGAAGAUAGGAGAGGGAAGUGGAAUUUCAGGUGUAGUGGUGAAAUGCGUAGAUAUCUGAAGGAACACCAGUGGCGAAGGCGACUUUCUGGCCUAUUCUUGACGCUGAGGCGCGAAAGCUAGGGGAGCGAACG
rnacentral:rRNA from 1 species